UACGUAGGAUGCAAGCGUUGUUCGGAAUUACUGGGCGUAAAGAGUACGUAGGCGGUUUGAUAAGUCUGAUAUUAAAGACUGGGGCUUAACCUCAGGAAUGUAUCGGAAACUGUCAGACUAGAGGACAGUAGAGGAAGUCGGAAUUCUCAGUGUAGCGGUGAAAUGCGUAGAUAUUGGGAAGAACACCAGUGGCGAAAGCGGACUUCUGGGCUGUUUCUGACGCUGAGGUACGAAAGCGUGGGGAGCAACGGG
rnacentral:rRNA from 1 species